GAUGAACGCUGGCGGCGUGCUUAAUACAUGCAAGUCGAGCGAACAGAUGAGGAUCUUGCUGCUCUGACGUUAGCGGCGGACGGGUGAGUAACACGUGUAUAACCUACCUAUAAUACUGGGAUAUCUUCGGGAAACCGGAUCUAAUACCGUAUAAUAUAUUGAACCGUGGGGGUCAAUGGUGAAAUACGGCGGUGCGGUCUCGUAUAGAUGCUUCCGCGCCGCUUUGGCUAGUUGUGGAGUUCAAGGCUUAUCAAGGCAACGAUGCGUAAGCGACCGGCGAGGGUGAUAGGCCACACUGGAACUGAGCCACGGACAAGACUCCUACGGGAGGCAGCAGUAGGGAAUCUGACGCAAUGGGCGAAAGCAUGACGCAGCAACGCCGCGCGAGUGAUGACAGCGUUCGGAUCGUAAAACUCUGUUAUUAGGGAAGAACAAAUGUGGAAGUAACUAUGCACGUAUUGACGGUAACUAAUAAGAAAGCAACGGCUAACUACGUG
rnacentral:rRNA from 1 species